ACCCCGCUCCUCCCUUGCUUGGUCGUUCGGCUGGCCCGGCUCACCUUCGGGGUGACGGCUAGCAGCAAGCAUUAUAGCAGACGACUUUAAUAAAUGCAGGCGGCAGGAGGAACUCUGGGAACUUGGGUGCCCUUGACUGGCAGUAAGGGUUGAAUUAUCCAGAUCUGAAAUACUUUUCAGAGCCGAGGGGUGAUACGCUCUGCAAAAGCACUUUUUGCACCUCUCCCUUACGCCAAUACUCGCUGACUGUGCGCACAAGUCAUAUUCAGUAUUAAAUACAAACCGAUCUGUAAUUCAAUGGCUCUAGCAAGACGCCUCUGAGAGGGCCAGGUGGCGGGUGCAAGUUGCUCAUUAACCCUUCAGAGUCGCGGUUUGCAGAUCUGAGUUAAAUCCCUGGUUUAAGGUCGUUCAGUUGCCCUCCUCCCCCUCUCCCCCUGCCUCUGCGAGAAAAAUGUGCAAAGAGAAGGAAAUUUGCACAUCAAACGAGGGGCAAUCGCGGCAGUAGAUGAACUUGAUUAGGCAGACGCUUGAGAUCAAAGUGGCCGGGGCCAAAGCGGACAGGGUCCAACGUACCGGGGUUUGCUCCCAAGUCAUACCUUGCACGGGACCACACAAUACCCCUUCUAGGGAGAUAAGAAACUACCUUGAGGAGAAGAAGAGCUGGAAGU